GCCUAUCAUAUCCCUAUUUUCAGAAAAACAUAAAAUAUCUCAGGUACCUUCUUCUGAUCUUAGAAGCUAAGGAGGGUGGGGCCUAGUUAGUUACUUGGAUGGGAGACCACCUAGGAAGACCAGGUUCUGUAGGCG
rnacentral:rRNA from 1 species